rnacentral:rRNA from 1 species
GAUGCCCUGGCAGUCAGAGGCGAUGAAGGACGUGCUAAUCUGCGAUAAGCGCCGGUAAGGUGAUAUGAACCGUUAUAACCGGCGAUUUCCGAAUGGGGAAACCCAGUGUGAUUCGUCACACUAUCAUUAACUGAAUCCAUAGGUUAAUGAGGCGAACCGGGGGAACUGAAACAUCUAAGUACCCCGAGGAAAAGAAAUCAACCGAGAUUCCCCCAGUAGCGGCGAGCGAACGGGGAGGAGCCCAGAGCCUGAAUCAGCAUGUGUGUUAGUGGAAGCGUCUGGAAAGGCGCGCGAUACAGGGUGACAGCCCCGUACACAAAAGCGCAUGUGCUGUGAGCUCGAUGAGUAGGGCGGGACACGUGGUAUCCUGUCUGAAUAUGGGGGGACCAUCCUCCAAGGCUAAAUACUCCUGACUGACCGAUAGUGAACCAGUACCGUGAGGGAAAGGCGAAAAGAACCCCGGCGAGGGGAGUGAAAAAGAACCUGAAACCGUGUACGUACAAGCAGUGGGAGCACAGGUUUACCUGUGUGACUGCGUACCUUUUGUAUAAUGGGUCAGCGACUUAUAUUCUGUAGCAAG